AGCAUCGUAGGCUCCAUCUGUGAUAAUUGGCAAAGCUACAGGAAUAAUUCCAUGUAUACAGCUGUUUUGUUUAUUUAUUUAUUUUUAACAUUCUCCUAUAGUAGCUUUACCCAGGGCCUUUUAAUAUAGUUUAGUAAUGACACAGUUUGAGUGGUGAGUAUGUUAAUUAUACAGUCAAAAGAAAACACAUUAAACACAUUAAAACUGAGCAGUAAACUCAAUAUUAG